CUGUGAUGCCCUUAGAUGUUCUGGGCCGCACGCGCGCUACACUGAUUAAUCCAACGAGUCCGCUUCAAUCGAGGCGUGGCGCGCCGUCGGGGUCAAACCCGGCGGUCGCCGUCGCUGUCCUCGAUCGCGCCUGGGCCGAUAGGUCCGGGUAAUCUUUGCAAAUUUAAUCGUGCUGGGGAUAGAUCAUUGUAAUUAUUGAUCUUCAACGAGGAAUUCCUAGUAAGCGCGAGUCAUC
rnacentral:rRNA from 1 species